AGGACUGCAGAGAGAGAGAGGCAGGGUUUGAUCUGCAGCCUCAGUGGCAGCUAUUGAUCAGCCGUUGCCUCUCUCUUUCUCUAGG
rfam:Myotis brandtii contig233563, whole genome shotgun sequence.